CAACAUUCGGAAUCGGCCACAUGUCCAGUGGAGUGUGUAGAUUCUAUUAUUAUCAUUAUUCGCAACUGUCAACGAGUACUUUUAUCAUUAAUAGCAUUACUCAUCCAUGGAGACAGGAUUCUCGUCGAUCCAAAAUUUUUCGCCGCUCCCGACGAAGUGAUCAAAGCCGACUACAAGACGUCCUCGUGCGUGUAUUCCUGCCAACGACCCAGCGAACGACAAGCGCGUCUCCGUCUCCCGUCGAUAUCUACAUCUUAUCUUUAAUUUUUCAUGUGGCUGAAUGUAUCUGUGGGACUUAAAACUAUUAUUUAUAUCUUUAUCAUAUAUCUAAUAAAGUUAUAAAUGGA